UACAGAGGGGGCAAGCGUUGUUCGGAUUUACUGGGCGUAAAGGGCGCGUAGGCGGCCUGGCAAGUCACUUGUGAAAUCUCCGGGCUUAACUCGGAACGGCCAAGUGAAACUGUCAAGCUAGAGUGUGGAAGGGGCAAUCGGAAUUCUUGGUGUAGCGGUGAAAUGCGUAGAUAUCAAGAGGAACACCUGAGGUGAAGACGGGUUGCUGGGCCAACACUGACGCUGAUGCGCGAAAGCCAGGGGAGCAAACGGG
rnacentral:rRNA from 1 species